UCGUGUCGUAGCCAACGCGUUAAGUGUUCCGCAUGGGGAGUACGCACGCAAGUGUGAAACUCAAGGGAAUUGACGGGGGCCCGCACAAGCGGUGGAGUAUGUGGUUUAAUUCGAUGCAACGCGAAGAACCUUACCAGGGUUUGACAUCCUGCGAAUCCCUUGGAAACGAGGGAGUGCCUUCGGGAACGCAGUGACAGGUGGUGCAUGGCUGUCGUCAGCUCGUGUCGUGAGAUGUUGGGUUAAGUCCCGCAACGAGCGCAACCCACGUCGUUAGUUGCCAGCAUUCAGUUGGGCACUCUAGCGAGACCGCCGGUGAUAAACCGGAGGAAGGUGUGGAUGACGUCAAGUCAUCAUGCCCCUUACACCCUGGGCUACACACGUACUACAAUGCUAUGGACAAAGGGCAGCAAACUCGCGAGAGCUAGCAAAUCCCAUAAACCGUGGCUCAGUUCAGAUCGUAGGCUGCAACUCGCCUACGUGAAGGAGGAAUCGCUAGUAAUCGCAGGUCAGCAUACUGCGGUGAAUACGUUCCCGGGCCUUGUACACACCGCCCGUCACACCAUGGAAGUUGGCCACGCCCGAAGUCGUUACUCCAACCCUUGUGGAGGAGGACGCCGAAGGUGGGGCUGAUGACUGGGGUGAAGUCGUAACAAGGUAGCCG
rnacentral:rRNA from 1 species